AUUGAACGCUGGCGGCAGGCCUAACACAUGCAAGUCGAACGAGUGGCGGACGGGUGAGUAAUGUCUGGGAAACUGCCUGAUGGAGGGGGAUAACUACUGGAAACGGUAGCUAAUACCGCAUACCAUCAGAUGUGCCCAGAUGGGAUUAGCUAGUUGGUGGGGUAACGGCUCACCAAGGCGACGAUCCCUAGCUGGUCUGAGAGGAUGACCAGCCACACGGGAACUGAGACACGGUCCAGACGCCUACGGGAGGCAGCAGUGGGGAAUAUUGCACAAUGGGCGAAAGCCUGAUGCAGCCAUGCCGAGUGUAUGAAGAAGGCCUUCGGGUUGUAAAGUACUUUCAGCGGGGAGGCGGUACCUGCAGAAGAAGCACCGGCUAACUCCGUGCCAGCAGCCGCGGUAAUUC
rnacentral:rRNA from 1 species